rnacentral:rRNA from 1 species
UACGUAGGGUGCAGGCGUUAAUCGGAAUUAUUGGGCGUAAAGAGCUCGUAGGCGGUCUGUCACGUCGGAUGUGAAAAUCCAGGGCUUAACCCUGGACCUGCAUUCGAUACGGGCAGACUAGAGUUCGGUAGGGGAGACUGGAAUUCCUGGUGUAGCGGUGAAAUGCGCAGAUAUCAGGAGGAACACCGGUGGCGAAGGCGGGUCUCUGGGCCGAUACUGACGCUGAGGAGCGAAAGCGUGGGGAGCGAACAGG